UCCAGUGACAGGGGGUCAGUGGUUUAUACUUUCAGUAGCCCAAAAGGGGUGAGUUGAGAUUGAUCCAGAAUAUUGAUAAAUGACUCUCACAAGUGCUGCAACUAGAAGUUUGCAGAGAAAGAGAGGAGAGAAAGGUUCGAAACAGAAGAAACCUAGUGAUAAAAAGAUCACUGUUUGUACUCUCUCCAGGUAGUCCAUAAGGUAACUCAGGGAGAACGAUGAGAGAGCACCCAAAACAGAGAAAUCUGAGAGAAGAGAAAGGAGCGGAAGGGGCUCUCAGGAUGAGGUCACUUGCCUUGAGGAUGUUCGGGAAAAUGUUUUCUGCACUUCUCAUCAAGGAGCAAUGCAAGUGGGAAUUCUAUUUUAUUGAGGAGAAAGUUACAUGCUGCAGCUGCACAACAGAUAAACAGUCACUGGGCAUCACCUGCACCAAUUUAAAUGGGUCACACUGGUCACAACUACAUCCCACACAGAUAUCUUCAUUUUGAUUUGGAUGCAUCAAUGUCAGAUGGAAUCAGAUUGCUUUUGAUGCCAAGAGCACACCACUGCAGUUUUGAUUGAGCACUCCCCUUGGCCAAAGGAAGAGGCAUCUACUGAAACCUUGGUUGCUUUGAACGGAUAAGCUCUACUUUAAGUGAUGAGAAUGACUUCUCCUGCGGUACAUCCCAAGUCCAAAUAGUUUCUCUGAGGGAGGAGGACAUGAUUCAUUCCAGAUUUGUUUUCUCUGCCAAAUCUGGAAUGAAUUUCCUAGCUGAUUUACCAUGUUAAGGAAACUGGAUCUCUGAUACAUUAGGAGGUUGUUCCAUGCUCCAAACUCCUGCCUAUUUGUCUGAAUUUGUUUGCACUCCCUCUGAGGACAGUUGGUGGCCUAAGAACUUCAUCUCCAACUUUGCAAAUUUUCAUUUCUUUUUGUUCAGGGUGAUGCCAGCCUGUUUCAGCUUCCACUCUUUUGUCAUGCUCCUCACUUGAGCCACCAAAGGCAAGUAUAUCACACAAUGUGGCAGACUACACCUUGGCGUCCUUCCAAAAUUUAGUUCAUCCUCAUUUGAAAGAGUUCUAGGGCUGAAGAGAUGCCAAAUGGGAGUCCCUUGAAGGCAUAGCAUCCAUAUGGUGUGAUAAAGGUUGUGAGCUUCUGUGACCUAGGAGCUAAAUAGAUCUACCAGAACCCUGCGUUUGCAUCUAGUUUGGUGAAGAACUUUGCUUUACCCAGCACACUCAAUGUGUGCUCAACAGAGGGCAGACUAAACGUUUCCCACCUCACAGCAUUAUUCAGUUUUGUUAGAUCAACACAAGUCUUCACUGUGCCAUCUGACUUAGGAACAGGAACAUUGCCGUCAGGAAGAGGAGAAGAUGGUGGCGUGACGCAGCACGCGCGGCCUCUCCGGUGAUGAAUAUCUGUAAUCUGUCAAGUAGGAGGCCAUGCACAAUUUUGAUCUGAUGGAGGCAGAUGUGAGAGCACGGAGGAACAUCGAGUGAAACUUCUGAAAUGCCUGUUUCGCUGCCGCUCCUACUGUGUGAUCCGAAAUCUCCGGAGAGGAAGGCCCCAAAUCUUCGGUUUUGCCUGUUGCUUGGCAGCAGAGGCUGGGGUUGAAGUGCUCGGCGGAGAUGGUGCUCGGUGCUCGGUGUCAGAGGGCUGGUUGGAGGCUUGAAGUUUUCAGACGGACUCAGAGUCGGACUGUGGUCGGGUGCUUCCAGGAUGCUGCAUCGGCAAGUUUGCGGCGCUGGAAGCUCAUGGCAGAAAGAGUUUCUUCCUUCUAACAUCUGUGUGAGAUGUUCUGGCUAUCGGGACUUUGAGACUUUUUUUUUACGGUGCCCAUGGUCUGCAUUUAUCAAAUUACAGUAUUGCUUUGCACUGUUGUAACUAUAAGUUAUAAUUAUGUGGUUUUUGUCAGUUUUAGUCUUAGUUUGUCUUGUGUUUCUGUGAUAUCAUACCGGAGGAUCAAUGUAUCCAUUUUUAAUGCAUGCA